rnacentral:rRNA from 1 species
AGACCCGAAACCCGGUGAUCUAGCCAUGGGCAGGUUGAAGGUUGGGUAACACUAACUGGAGGACCGAACCGACUAAUGUUGAAAAAUUAGCGGAUGACCUGUGGCUGGGGGUGAAAGGCCAAUCAAACCGGGAGAUAGCUGGUUCUCCCCGAAAGCUAUUUAGGUAGCGCCUCGUGAAUUCAUCUCCGGGGGUAGAGCACUGUUUCGGCUAGGGGGCCAUCCCGGCUUACCAACCCGAUGCAAACUGCGAAUACCGGAGAAUGUUAUCACGGGAGACACACGGCGGGUGCUAACGUCCGUCGUGAAGAGGGAAACAACCCAGACCGCCAGCUAAGGUCCCAAAGUCAUGGUUAAGUGGGAAACGAUGUGGGAAGGCCCAGACAGCCAGGAUGUUGGCUUAGAAGCAGCCAUCAUUUAAAGAAAGCGUAAUAGCUCACUGGUCGAGUCGGCCUGCGCGGAAGAUGUAACGGGGCUAAACCAUGCACCGAAGCUGCGGCAGCGAACGUAUCACCCAAGACAACUUUACGGAGUUGACGAUUGACGGAGCGAAGCGACGUCAAAGCGUUCAUUAAAGUCGAGUUGGCUUAGGGAUACGUUCGUUGGGUAGGGGAGCGUUCUGUAAGCCUGUGAAGGUGUGUCGUGAGGCAUGCUGGAGGUAUCAGAAGUGCGAAUGCUGACAUAAGUAACGAUAAAGCGGGUGAAAAGCCCGCUCGCCGGAAGACCAAGGGUUCCUGUCCAACGUUAAUCGGGGCAGGGUGAGUCGACCCCUAAGGCGAGGCCGAAAGGCGUAGUCGAUGGGAAACGGGUUAAUAUUCCCGUACUUGGUGUUACUGCGAAGGGGGGACGGAGAAGGCUAUGUUGGCCGGGCGACGGUUGUCCCGGUUUAAGCGUGUAGGCUGGUUUUCCAGGCAAAUCCGGAAAAUCAAGGCUGAGGCGUGACGACGAGGCACUACGGUGCUGAAGCAACAAAUGCCCUGCUUCCAGGAAAAGCCUCUAAGCAUCAGGUAACAUCAAAUCGUACCCCAAACCGACACAGGUGGUCAGGUAGAGAAUACCAAGGCGCUUGAGAGAACUCGGGUGAAGGAACUAGGCAAAAUGGUGCCGUAACUUCGGGAGAAGGCACGCUGAUAUGUAGGUGAAGUGAUUUACUCAUGGAGCUGAAAUCAGUCGAA